UCUACCUAGUAGUGGGGGACAACAGCCGGAAACCUGCUAAUACCGCAUACGCCCUACGGGGAAAGCGGGGGAUCUUCGGACCUCGUGCUAUUAGAUGAGCCCGCGUUGGAUUAGCUAGAUGGUGGGGUAAAAGCCUACCAUGGCGACGAUCCAUAGCUGGUCUGAGAGGAUGAUCAGCCACAUUGGGACUGAGACACGGCCCAAACUCCUACGGGAGGCAGCAGUGGGGAAUAUUGCACAAUGGGCGCAAGUGAUGCAGCCAUGCCGCGUGUGUGAAGAAGGCUCUAGGGUUGUAAAGCACUUUCAGUGGGGAGGAAAGGUUAAUAAUUAAUACUUAUUAGCUGUGACGUUACCCACAGAAGAAGCACCGGCUAACUCCGUGCCAGCAGCCGCGGUAAUACGGAGGGUGCAAGCGUUAAUCGGAAUUACUGGGCGUAAAGCGCGCGUAGGGGCUGUCUAAGCUAGAUGUGAAAGCCCUGGGCUCAACCUGGGAACUGCAUUUAGAACUGGGCAGCUAGAGUACAGCAGAGGGGUGUGGAAUUUCAGGUGUAGCGGUGAAAUGCGUAGAGAUCUGAAGGAACAUCAGUGGCGAAGGGACACCCUGGGUUGAUACUGACGCUGAGGUGCGAAAGGUGGGGAGCAAACAGGAUUAGAUACCCUGGUAGUCCACGCCGUAAACGAUGUCUACUAGCCGUUGGGGUCCUUGAGGCCUUAGUGGCGCAGUAACGCAAUAAGUAGACCGCCUGGGGAGUACGGCCGCAAGUUAAAACUCAAAUGAAUUGACGGGGG
rnacentral:rRNA from 1 species